GGGGGGCGGUCGGGAUACUGGGCGUAAGCGCGCGCAGGCGGCACGUCAAGUACGGAGUGGAAUCUCCCUGCCUAACGGGGAGGGUGCUCUGUAAACUGGCGAGCUAGAGGACGGUAGAGGGGGGUGGAAUUGCUGGUGUAGCGGUGAAAUGCGUAGAGAUCAGCAGGAACACCCGUGGCGAAGGCGGCCCCCUGGGCCGUCCCUGACGCUGAGGCGCGAAGGCUAGGGGAGCGAACGGGAUUAGAUACCCCGGUAGUCCUAGCAGUAAACGAUGACCACUAGGUGUGGGGGGUGUUGACCCCUUCCGUGCCGAAGCUAACGCAUUAAGUGGUCCGCCUGGGGAGUACGGUCGCAAGACUAAAACUCAAAGGAAUUGACGGGGACCCGCACAAGCAGCGGAGCGUGUGGUUUAAUUCGAUGCAACGCGAAGAACCUUACCAGGGCUUGACAUGUAGUCGCAACACCAAGAAAUUGGUGCCUCCUUCGGAACGGCUGCACAGAUGUUGCAUGGCUGUCGUCAGCUCGUGUCGUGAGAUGUUGGGUUAAGUCCCGCAACGAGCGCAACCCUCGUUUCCAGUUGAAAAUCUGGAGAGACUGCCGGAAACAAACCGGAGGAAGGUGGGGAUGACGUCAAGUCAGCAUGACUCUUACGUCCUGGGCUACACACACGCUACAAUGGCCGUUACAGCGAGAAGCCACCCUGCAAAGGGGAGCAGAUCUCUAAAAGGCGGCCCCAGUUCAGAUUGCACUCUGCAACCCGAGUGCAUGAAGUCGGAGUUGCUAGUAACCGCGUGUCAGCAUAGCGCGGUGAAUAUGUUCCCGGGUCUUGUACACACCGCCCGUCACGUCAUGGGAGCCGGCAAUACCUGAAGUCCGUGAGCUAACCUCCUCUUUUUGGGGUAGGGGCAGCGGCCGAGGGUAGGGCUGGUGACUGGGACGAAGUCGUAACAAGGUAAC
rnacentral:rRNA from 1 species